UAGGGAAUCUUCGGCAAUGGACGAAAGUCUGACCGAGCAACGCCGCGUGAGUGAAGAAGGCCUUCGGAUCGUAAAACUCUGUUGUUAGAGAAGAACAAGGACGUUAGUAACUGAACGUCCCCUGACGGUAUCUAACCAGAAAGCCACGGCUAACUACGUGCCAGCAGCCGCGGUAAUACGUAGGUGGCAAGCGUUGUCCGGAAUUAUUGGGCGUAAAGCGAGCGCAGGCGGUUUCUUAAGUCUGAUGUGAAAGCCCCCGGCUCAACCGGGGAGGUGCAUUUGAGACUGGGCGGCUUGAGUGCAGAAGAGGGGAGUGGAAUUCCGUGUGUAGCGGUGAAAUGCGUAGAUAUAUGGAGGAACACCAGUGGCGAAGGCGGCUCUCUGGUCUGUAACUGACGCUGAGGCUCGAAAGCGUGGGGAGCAAACAGG
rnacentral:rRNA from 1 species